UUUAAUAUUAUUUUAUACUAUUAUUUUAUAUUUUUUAUUCUACUUUUGAAUAAUCUAAUUUUUGUAUAUUAAAGUUCAUAUUGUGACCUAUUGAAUUGGUGGAAGGUAAAUUCCACCAAAUAUCAUACUCUUGGUAUAAUGGAUAGAGAGGUUUUGACUAUACCAACAUACCUAUUGUUUCUUUUGAGUUUGCCUUUUGUAAGAAUAUUUCAUAUUAAUAUUUUGAUCUCAAUGAAUGAAAUAAUAUCUCCAUUAAUAUGGUCCAUAAGAAACCGUUUAAAC
rnacentral:lncRNA from 1 species